AUGGGGCGCCGCCCGAAGCUCUCCUCGCCUCCAGCUGCGCCAGAUGGAGCUUCUUCGUCGACCAUGCUGGCUGCCAAGAAGGUGCCUGCACUGAACACGACGUACAAUGCCGGGCUGCUCCAUUCCAUCGCCGGAGAAUGGAAUCCAAACAUCAAAGGUGUGUUCUCCGGCAUAGGCAUGGAAGAAAUCUGCAAGAUAAAGGAUAUGGGGAACAACAACCGUAUCUUUAGCAUGUCCCUCUUAGCUAGGAUCGAUCCCAAAACCAUGAAGAUGGACAUGGGUGAUGGCAAUCACGUUGUGAUAGACUCUAGGGAGGUGGCAAAGGGAGCACACCCAAAAAUUGCAAAUGAACUGCUGCCGGUGCUAGCUGAGCCAAACCAAAUCUCCGACUAUGACUUUUGCGAUUAUGUUGUGGAGGGGCUGAGAGAGGGUGCGGCCAAGCUGAGGGAGGAUCUACUGCACGACCCAACUCAGCUCUCUCUGCAGGGCUGCCUUGUUAUCCCACAGAUCAAAAAGCAUGCAACAAGGAAUCGUGUGGACGCUGGGUUUGAGGCUGCGGAUGUUCCUAGAUCGCCGGCAUUUAAUGUCGUUUCUGCUAGCCCAGCUCAAGCACAAGGCUGGACCACGCCAAGUUCUAGUGUGCAUGCUGCUCCCCUGGAUUUGAUUCUUGAUGCGAUGGAGGAGGCAGUGCAUCAUCGACUGAAGCAGCGGGAGGAGGAAUUCCUCAAGAUAGGCAAAGUGCUUGAAGAAAUCAAGAACAAGGCGGAUGCUAAACGGCACAGAGACCUCGAGGACACACUUGAUGAUUUCAUGGAGCGGGUGAAGAGACAAGCUCCAAUGUCAGCAACAUUUCCUAACUGUGUUGAUGUGCGCGGGGAGAGCAUGCAUGCAUGGGCGAGCGCUAGGCACGGGUUUGUUUACUCCUGCAUGCAUGACAUACAUGGGCCAUCCAUGCAUGAUGUUGCCCAAGAUCUGGCUGAAACUUCACGCGAAGCUGCGAGGUCUUUGAUGUCAGUGGUUGUUGUUAAAGAGGCGAUACGUGUCCAACCAGAAACGCCUGGUGUGGCUGCUGCAACCACGGCGGUGCAAGGACCCGACCUGAACGCAUGCCUUGGGGUGCAUGUGAGUUUGCUUGGGAAAGAAAUUGCUAUCCACGGGCCAGUUGAUGAACCAGAGGAGAAGCCUAUGAUUGUGGACCACAAAGGCAAGGGGCCAGCUAUUGACGUGGUGUACCAUAGGUGCACUAGACAGACCACCAUGCAUGAGGUGCUGGGAGUGGGAGGUUCUUCGUCUAAAGAGCUUCAUCCGGUGCUGCCGCCUGUUGACACUGAUUUGACUGAAGAGCUUCAUCCUUCUUUGAUCUGUGGAACUGUUGUGCCGGAUGCAUUGCAGCUGCAAAAUGACCAGGCUGCAGGAAUUGCCGCGACCACGCCAAUAGGGAACAGGAGGUUGGCACUGCCUCAUGUAGGGGAACAAAGCAAGCCGGCCCCUCUUGCGGUUGUUCCAGCUUUGCCACCUGCACGUGAUUACGGCUACUCUCCAUUUGAGCUGGAUCUGCAGCAUUUGUUCUACCCAAACCACGUAUGUGUUGAUUUGUAUGAGAACGUUGCACUCCUCACUGAGCCGUCUGAGCUCAGCAGAACUUGGUUCAAGCAUCACAACCCCACGGUGCUCAGGCUGGAUGGGCAUAAGAUGAAGUACCAAUUCAGCUUGCAUGGUGAGAUGAUGUACACAGGCCUUGAUGCAUGGCUCCACAUGGAAAAUAUUGAUACUGAGCACGCGCGCGUUGUGCUCAUUGGGUUGCUUUCGACGCCCAAGCUUGGUUUCCCACUAUGCAUGUGCUGUCUGAUCUUGAUCCCUGUGUGGCUUGCUCACGAUUGGUCCCUGUACGCCUUCAACAUGGAGCUGACCAGGGUCACGGUGAUGGACCCGUUCUACACACAGGUGGGAUCCCCAGUGUACGAGUCGAAGCAUGGGUCAACAGUUCACAUGCUGCUUAAAGGACUCAAAAUACUGGGCACCUUGUUGUUGGACGGCUGGGACAUGGAUAUCUCCAAAUGGACUGUUCGGUACAACAUUCAUAUGCACAUAGCUUGCGGCAGCGGUGAAUCGCCUGGCUACAUUGCAUACAAUGCUGACAACUUCAACGCUUAUGAGUUGGAGGAACCCGUUCCGCAUGUUGGUCUUCCCCUGCGUCGAAGGAGGAUGCUCUAUGAGACACUAGCCUGUUCGGGAAACACGGCUGCUCACCCGGGAUUCAUGGAGGAAGUGGAGGAGGACUGGCAAGAGUGCCAUUGGCACGUGACGGGCCUGCCAUGCAAAACAAUUAGAAAAACACCGGUGAGAGCCGUUGCCCACCACUCCUUUCGAAAAGUGACUGUUGGUGGGAGCCCUUGGCUAUAUAUACAACAUGCCGCCUACACUCUGUUGGGCUUCACGCCACCAGCAUCAAAUCCUCCCCAACAAAUGUCUUUGUCAGUCUCUUCGAGCUCAAGGUGUGCUUCUUCAUCCCAGAGGCGUUGGGCCUCCCCAAGCAGGUCGCCGGUGAGAUACAGGGUGGGUCCACUGGACUAUGAACCUGCGACGCCAUGCUGGUGCAAGGAGAAACCCAAGGCUGCCAUGUGGAUCUCCUGGAGCGACGAUAACCCUGGGAGAAGAUACAAGACAUGCGCCAAGUCGCGGAUGGGAGGUUGUGAAAUGUACGAGUGGCAUGACGAUCCCAUUGAGGAACCAUUCCUCAAACAACUCAUCACUGAUCUCUGCGACAGGGUGCGUCAGUUAGAGAGGAUCAGCUCAGAGUUGCGUGAUGCAGCAAGUGCAGUGCCACAACACCAAACUCCCCAGCUAGAAGUUGCUCCUGCUCCUACAGAUAAUUUAGCUCUGAAUCAAGGAUCUGGCUACGUGAAGGCAUUUGCAAUGUUCGUGCUGCUGGCAGCAUUCUGUUACAAGUGCUUCUAUGGUUAG
rnacentral:rRNA from 1 species